rnacentral:rRNA from 1 species
AGCGGCAGGCGGGUGAGUAACGCGUGGGAACGUACCUUUUGGUUCGGAACAACACAGAGAAACUUGUGCUAAUACCGGAUAAGCCCUUACGGGGAAAGAUUUAUCGCUGGAGGAUUGGCCCGCGUCCGAUUAGCUGGUUGGCGGGGUAACGGCCCACCAAGGCGACGAUCGGUAGCUGGUCUGAGAGGAUGAUCAGCCACAUUGGGACUGAGACACGGCCCAAACUCCUACGGGAGGCAGCAGUGGGGAAUAUUGGACAAUGGGCGCAAGCCUGAUCCAGCCAUGCCGCGUGAGUGAUGACGGCCUUAGGGUUGUAAAGCUCUUUCGCUCGGGACGAUAAUGACGGUACCGAGAGAAGAAGCCCCGGCCAACUUCGUGCCAGCAGCCGCGGUAAUACGAAGGGGGCUAGCGUUGUUCGGAAUUACUGGGCGUAAAGCGCGUGUAGGCGGGUCUUUAAGUCAGGGGUGAAAUGCCGAGGCUCAACCUUGGAACUGCCUUUGAUACUGGAGACCUUGAGUCCGGGAGAGGUGAGUGGAACUGCGAGUGUAGAGGUGAAAUUCGUAGAUAUUCGCAAGAACACCAGUGGCGAAGGCGGCUCACUGGCCCGGAACUGACGCUGAGACGCGAAAGCGUGGGGAGCAAACAGGAUUAGAUACCCUGGUAGUCCACGCUGUAAACGAUGGAUGCUAGCCGUUGGGGAGCUUGCUCUUCAGUGGCGCAGCCAACGCUUUAAGCAUCCCGCCUGGGGAGUACGGUCGCAAGAUUAAAACUCAAAGGAAUUGACGGGGGCCCGCACAAGCGGUGGAGCAUGUGGUUUAAUUCGA